rnacentral:SRP_RNA from 1 species
ACCGACCCCUCGCGUGGCGGCAUCUCGCUGAAUUCCCCCAGGGCCGGAAGGCAGCAAGGGCAGGCGGGCUCUGCUGGGUACGCGAGGGGUCCUGCGC